CCUGAGUCUCUUUUUUCAUACUUCAGCAGUCAACAUCCUCUCCACACCCUCCGCGAACAAAAGUAAGUCCAUGUCUUAAUCUUGAUAAGGGUUCAUUUCUUUGUGCAUAUUACGUGCUCUUCUUGAUUGUUGAACUUGGAUUUUCAUUUCCUUCAAGAGAAUCAAGUAAAUUUCUGGCUAUUUUUCCUGCUAUUCUCGAGAUUUGAUAAUUUUAUUGUUCAAGGUAUUUAGUAUCUUCUAUACAUUAUGCACUUUGAAUAGAGGAUGGGCUGCCAUGACUAAUCUUGAUUCAACUGGAGUUCCAAGUUCAAGUGAGCUUGAGGUUCUUGUAAUUAUAUUUCUUCUGUUUAAUCUUUUUUGAGACAUUAAAGUUCUUACGGGAAAAAUUAACUCUUGUAUCAGGGAAAAUACAAGGCAGUGGUGGAUUGUUGGUUUCUUUGAUUGGGAUCCCUUGUUUUCAUGGAACUUUAUGCUGAUAAUCGGAGAUUACUAUUAUAAUUUAUUCCCAGUAAGCACUUAUAUCCAUCUUUUUACUGCUUAGAAUGAU
rnacentral:lncRNA from 1 species